rnacentral:rRNA from 1 species
CCUACGGGUGGCAGCAGUGAGGAAUAUUGGUCAAUGGGCGAGAGCCUGAACCAGCCAAGCCGCGUGAGGGAGUACUGCCCUAUGGGUUGUAAACCUUUUUUGUCGGGGAGCAAAAGCCGGACGUGUCCGGCCGUGAGAGUACCCGAAGAAAAAGCAUCGGCUAACUCCGUGCCAGCAGCCGCGGUAAUACGGAGGAUCCGAGCGUUAUCCGGAUUUAUUGGGUUUAAAGGGAGCGUAGGUGGAUUGUUAAGUCAGUUGUGAAAGUUUGCGGCUCAACCGUGAAAUUGCAGUUGAAACUGGCAGUCUGGAGUACAGUAGAGGUGGGCGGAAUUCGUGGUGUAGCGGUGAAAUGCUUAGAUAUCACGAAGAACUCCGGUUGCGAAGGCAGUUCACUGGACUGCAACUGACACUGAGGCUCGAAAGUGUGGGUAUCAAACAGGAUUAGAUACCCUUGUAGUC